AUAUUGGUCAAUGGGUGCAAGCCUGAACCAGCCAUCCCGCGUGAAGGACGACUGCCCUAUGGGUUGUAAACUUCUUUUGUAUAGGGAUAAACCUACCCUCGUGAGGGUAGCUGAAGGUACUAUACGAAUAAGCACCGGCUAACUCCGUGCCAGCAGCCGCGGUAAUACGGUGGGUGCAAGCGUUAUCCGGAUUUAUUGGGUUUAAAGGGUCCGUAGGCGGACUUAUAAGUCAGUGGUGAAAGCCUGUCGCUUAACGAUAGAACUUCCAUUGAUACUGUAAGUCUUGAGUAUAUUUGAGGUAGCUGGAAUAAGUAGUGUAGCGGUGAAAUGCAUAGAUAUUACUUAGAACACCAAUUGCGAAGGCAGGUUACCAAGAUAUAACUGACGCUGAGGGACGAAAGCGUGG
rnacentral:rRNA from 1 species